AUUGCCCUGCAGUGAGACCCGGACAGUCGAUAUUAUCCUCGGUUCAGAAAAUGUUGCGAAUUGUAACGAGUUUUGAGUCGAGGGUGAUACCGAGCUAAUAGCUGCGAACUUUGAAUUUUCUUUGAUAUUAUAAAGUAGAGAAUAAGGCUGUAACAAUUGUUGUUGCAUCCUGAAGAAACAAACCCUUGGGAUUUUCGUCGACGAGGUUUACGGCACAGACGCGACAAAGGUUAUUUUUGAGAGUAAGACCUUUUUCUUGCAUUUGGCGGCCGUUUCACGUCCAAGUUUCGUUUUCAUCUUCCUCAAUAACCAUGACGUGCCAUAAAUUCGGCAAUUCCGAGGAAUCAUCCCAAAAUGAAACGCACCCGAGACUGCCGAAGGUCGGUUUCGAGGAAUUGUGCAACUAUCCAACGCAUCCGAUACCAUCGCCGAGAAACAAUUCAUGGAGAGUUUGUCGAUAAGGUUUACGACGCGAAUAAGGCAAAAGGCUACUUGUGAGUUCGCCUGGGGGAAGUUCACAAUGUUGCCAAGAUCUUCGAAAAUGACAGGUACGUGCAGCUCUACCUCUUCCACCCUUGCGAAAACAGGAAAUGGGGGUCGUCAUACGGACUCCCGAUCAUAAAAAAGAAAAACGAUAUAUAUAUAUAUCGUCAAACUUUUCUUCAAAAAGUGCUUCUCGUUUAUAUAUAUAUAUAUUGACGAUAUAUUUUUGAUAUCAUAUCAAACAUGCUGCCAAAUCUCAUGCUGCAAAAAUAACACAGGCAAAAAUUAGGAAGCUUUGAUUGGAACUUUUACCUCAUCCACCAUAUUCACCACAUCUCGCGCCGCCGGAUUACCACCUUUUCAGAUCGUUAGAGCAUACAUUAAGAGGUAAAAGCUUUAACAAUGUUGAAGAAGUGAAAACGCACUUGGAAAAGUUUUUCGAUGCAAAAUCGAAGGACUUUCUUAAAAAAGGAAUCGAACAACUGCUUAUACGCUGGCAGAAGGAGUUAAAAUAAUGAUGGAAAUUAUUUUGUUGAUUAAAAUGUAGGAUUUCUUUAAUAAAUAAAUGUUUUUAACCAACAACAACAAAA